CACUCACCCCGCUCGGGCGCAGGCCGGAAAGGAAGGCGGAAGGGAGCGGGGGAGCAAGGAACCCUUCCGGGUUGCGGUCCACUGCGCCUGCGCAAACGGAAGAGCGGGGUGGCACGGGAUGGGGGGUGCGGCGCGCAUGCGCACUGGCAUUUUAACAGCCGAUGCCGACAGUCAGCCAGGAGUUGAUGGGGUUUUUGAUAGGCUGUUCUGAUUGUACUACCACGUGGUGUAUGCUCCUGCUAAGCUGGCUUGUUUACUUUUUGCUGGGUUAAAGGCUCUCCCUCACGUCUGAGGAACUUACACAAGCAUCUCUGUGUUGGGCUCCGAGUGCUGCCUUCCCACGUGCCAUCCACCUUUAGGGGUCUUUCUUGUAGGUUGGCCCUUGUAUAGCGGCUUGCCUUGAGGAUUAUCCCAUUGAGGUCAGAGAUGAACACGGAGGCCCUGUGAAAUCCCUGGUGCAGAAGUGUGGGAAGGCCAGAAUGAUCUGUGCUCUCUUAAAGGUUAGGCCGAGUCAGGCAGAUGCAGGCUGUCCUGAGGGGCUCUGGUAGCUAUCCCUUCAAACCUGCUGUGGCAGAUGAAGACAUUCCUACACCUAGUUGUCCACCUUGUUCUUUGUUGGAGCUUGCUGCUCCUGCAGCAGAAUUGCAGAGGGAAAGCAGACCUUUGACGCAGUGCUUUUCAUACACAAAAGAAGAACCGAAAGAGUGAAGGCCAAGUACCUCAUGUGUCUGUCAACAGUCUUUUGGAAUUGCCAGCCAGCUUUCCAAGCGACACGCCAAGCUGGAACUCCUCCUCCUGUGCACUCAGUGAUGAUGGA